AUUGUAUUUCUCUGCAUGACAGCCCUGACGGUAUGCCACUUCCAUCACUGCCUGGCUUGACCAUGGCUGCUGUUCCUCUGAACAACCUACAGGAGCAACUGCAGCGUCACUCAGCCAGAAAACUUAAUAAUAAAUUCGACCUUUCGAAACCAAAAUCUUCAGGUUUUACUUUUAAAAAGAAAACGUCAGAGGGUGAUGUGUCUGUAACUAGCGUGCCAGUGGUAAAAACACCUGCAUUAAGUGAUAAAGAUGUGAUUGUGUCUGAGGCCUUUCCAUCCACUGAGUCUCCUCUACUCCACACACCAAAGCAGCAGCCUGGGAUUGAUGGCUUCUUUAAAAAUUCUCUGGGAGAACAGCAGACCAAGGGGACCAAACCAUCACAGCUGGACUUGGUGCAGAUUCCUCAGGAAGUUUUAUGUACUGCCCCCAAAACCCCAGCUGUAAAGAAACCCCACAUUUCUGUUUUCAAGAAAUUAGAAUUUAGUUCUUCACCAGAUUCCCUCAACGAUUGGGCCGAUAUGGAUGACUUUGAUAUUUCAGCAUCAGAUGCAUUUGUUUCAAUGAGUAGAAACCCUGUCAUAAGAGUAAGCACUGCUCAGAAACCAAAAAAGUCUAUCAGAAACUUUUUUAAACCACCACCUCAUAAAGCAAGUGUGGUAAAGGCUGGUUUGACUCUGUCUUCCCCUGAAAGCUCACAAGUGGAUUUAACUAAGGAUCAGAAGGAUGAGUCGGAAUACUUAAGCGGUGAUGUGAUUUGCAUCGACAGUGACCCUGGUUCUGAAGAGCUUGUGAAGAAAGACGCUCAGGAGAGUCAGUCUUUGGAAACUGAAUUGGAAGUUGAAAGAGAUAAUAGUGAAAAGAAGAACCAUGUAGGUGAAGUUAAAUUACAGUCAACUGAGAAAGCGCUAUAUGAUGAUGAUGAUGAUUAUGAUGUAGACUUUGUUCCACCUUCUCCAGAAGAAGAAAUUAUUUCUGCAGCUUCUUCCUCUUCAAAAUGCUGCAGUAUGCUAAAGGAUCUUGAUGACUCUGACAAAGAGAAAGACAUUCUUAACACCUCAAAAGAUCUUUUGUCAAAACCAGAGGAAAUGCCUGCAAAGGAGCCUGAUCCAGGAACCAAUACAGACUGUGACGACAAACAGAUGAGUGUGCAGCAGCAGCUUAUUCGUGUGAUGGAGCACAUCUGUAAAUUAGUUGAUACUGUUCCUAUUGAUGAACUGAAAGCUUUGAAUUGUGGGAACGAGCUGCUUCAACAGCGAAACAUAAGAAGGGAGCUUUUGGCCGAAGCUGGUUUUAAUGGAAAAGAUGUCAGUCUUCUGAGUUCACUGUGGAGAUGCAGGCCUGACUCACAUGGUAACACUGUGCAGAGUAAUUCCUGCCCUGUGGGGCAUCCUAGUAAAGAGUUAAAUUCUCCAUCCUUUCCCUCACAUUCCCUUUCCACUGAGGAAUGCUUACCAACCACCACUCCAGGGAAGACAGGAUUCUCAGCCACCACGAAGAAUCUCCUUGAAAGGCCGUUAUUGAAUUCCCAUUUACAGAAGUCCUUUGUAAGUAGCAACUGGGCUGAAACACUAAGGAUAGAAAAAAGAAACGAAAGCACUUAUUUCCCAGGAAAUGUUCUCACAAGCACCGCUGUGAAAGAUCAGAAUAAACAUGCUGCUUCAGUAAAUAACUUAGAGAGAGAAGUCCAGGCUUCCUAUGAUAUUGAUAAUUUUAACAUUGAUGACUUUGAUGAUGAUGAUGACGAUGACUGGGAAAAUAUAAUGCACAGUUUUUCAGCCAGCAAAUCCUCCACAGCUGCCUACCCACCUAUCAAGGAAGGUGGGCCUGUUAAGUCUCUGUCAGAGAGGAUCUCUUCAGCCAAGACAAAGUCUCUUCCAGUGGUGUCAACUGCCCAAAAUAAAAAGCUCUCAGAGUCAAUUCAGAAUUACACUGAUAAGAUGGAACAAAAUUUGUCAUCAAAAAAUCUGAAACAUGAACAUUUUCAAAGUCUUAAUUUUCCUCAUACAAAAGAAAUGAUGAAGAUCUUUCACAAGAAAUUUGGCUUACAUAAUUUUAGAACUAAUCAGCUAGAGGCAAUCAAUGCUGCGCUGCUUGGUGAAGAUUGUUUUAUCCUAAUGCCCACUGGAGGUGGUAAAAGUUUGUGUUACCAGCUGCCUGCCUGUGUUUCUCCUGGGGUCACUAUUGUCAUUUCUCCCUUGAGAUCACUAAUAGUAGAUCAAGUUCAAAAGCUGACUUCCUUUGAUAUUCCUGCUACAUAUCUGACGGGGGAUAAGACUGACUCAGAAGCUGCAAAUAUUUACCUCCAAUUAUCAAAAAAAGACCCAAUUAUCAAGCUUUUGUAUGUUACUCCAGAAAAGGUCUGUGCAAGUAACAGGCUGAUUUCCACUCUGGAGAAUCUAUAUGAUCGGAAGCUCUUGGCACGCUUUGUCAUUGAUGAAGCACAUUGUGUGAGUCAGUGGGGUCAUGAUUUUCGUCAAGAUUACAAAAGGAUGAAUAUGCUUCGCCAGAAGUUUCCUUCGGUUCCAGUGAUGGCUCUCACGGCAACAGCGAAUCCCAGGGUACAGAAGGAUAUCCUCACACAGCUGAAGAUCCUCAGACCUCAGGUGACUUGAGAUUCAAAGGCUGGGGUGAAAACCUGCUAGCUAACCUUCUCCUUGCUGGCAUCUCUGAAAGAGACCAUCCUUCUACUCCAACAAACAAAAAAAGUUGUGCCACUCAAGAUCCCUCCCUACUCCUUCUGUUGCUUCUAUCUCUUCCAGAUGCCCUCUGAUGCUCUGGGUUAAUUUUACUUAAUUAACACAAAUGCAAACUUGAGGUUCACAGUAUGAUUGAAUAUCCCCCAUCACUUCAUCUCAGCAGCAUGCUUCUUCCUACCACCAAAUCCAUAACUAAUUGGUAAUGAAAGCCAUUUGAAAAUAUUCUGCUGUAUAUAUUUAGGUUAUACUAGGCUGUUGUCCCUCUGCCUGAGUUUGCUGAGACAGAUGCAUUCUUUAUUAUGUUCAUUUGCUCAGCAAAUACUUUAAUAUAGGUUUGUGUACUUAUGUUCUGAGGUUGAGGUAGAAUGCCUGAAGGAAUAAUGGCUGAACAGAAUAUUGGGGUGGAUUUUUUUAAAUGAUUUGUUUUUAUUUUAUGUGUAUGAGUGUUUGCAUGUCUGUCUGUACCCAUAGAAACUAGAGGACAUUAGAUCCCUGGGACUUGAAUUACAGAUGAUUGUAAGCUACCAUGUCGGUGCUGGGAACUGAACCUGGAUACUCUGGAAGAGCAGCAAGGUUCUUACUUAAAUGCUGAGCCAUCUCUCCAGCCCCCACCCCACCCACUCCCAAAGUGUAUUUUAAAAGCACAGCUUUUGUUCACUUAAAAAUAACAAACUGAUAUGGUGGCACAUGCAUGUAGACCCAGCAUGCCUACAGGAGGUGGAAAUGAGAGCAUCCUUAAGCUUAAGGAUGGCCUAGGCACCAUCAUAAGAUCUAGCCUCCAAAAAGAAAGAAAAGAGAAACUGGCUGUGUAAAUGUUGUAAACCUACCUCAUCACAAUAGUGCAUGCCUUUAGUCCCAGCACUUGAUAGACCAGAAGCAGGCCAGCCUGAUCUACAUAGUAAGUUCUAGGCCAGCCAGGGUUACAUAUUGAGACCUUGCCCCACCCCAUACUAUAAGCAUAAAAAUAAUAAAGGUCAUACAUGGUACACAUGCUUGCAGACAAAGCAAACACUCAUACACGUAAAAUGAAUAAAUCUAAAUAAAAAUAACAAAGUAUCUCUCAGAGAGUUAUGCCCUAACUUCAAAUUCUAUAUGAAGCCUUUGGGGUCAUGAGCUAACAGAGUUGCAUAGCCUUUGCAGAUCAGAUUGGCAGACCUAAAGCAAGUAGUUCAUGCAGCACUUUGGGUUUCUUCCAGCCUUUAAGUUGUUUAGUACCAGCAUGAAAAUACUUAGUUGCUAAUAGCUCUUUUACAUACCAUUAAUGAUCAUACUUGAGUGCAAGAACGUUAGAGUUCUCAUAAUUUUGUGUGUAUAAUCACAAAAUGUGGAAUGCAAUGUUUUAAUCUAAUGCUACUUGCAAUGAGGAAUAUUUAUGUAAAUUUGGGGUAAGAGAUGUAUCUUGCUUCCUGCCAUAUUAGAUACAUGCUUUAACACUAUAUUUAAAAUGUUAUACUUUAGGUUUUAAUAAAUACUGAAUGCUAUAAAUUUGUUUCUACAAAUGCUAUACUGCCUAAAAAAAUGUUUUAUUUCUGCCCCCCUUCCCCACUCACACCCCACCCCCUCUUUGAGGUUUUUGUUGAAAUGUACAGAGUUUUGAUACGAAGCCCUAACUGGCUUGGAAUUAUAAUAUAGGUCAUGCUGUCUCCUCUUCCCACAUUCUGUGAUUUCAGGUGUGCACCACCAUGCUGGGGAUGGAGAUAUAUAUCAUAUGAGAGAGGGGGGGGAGAGAGAGAGAGAGGGAGAGAGAGAGAGAGAGA